rnacentral:rRNA from 1 species
GCGUCUUAAGCAUGCAAGUCAAACGGGAUGUAGCAAUACAUUCAGUGGCGAACGGGUGAGUAACGCGUGGAUGAUCUACCUAUGAGAUGGGGAUAACUAUUAGAAAUAGUAGCUAAUACCGAAUAAGGUCAGUUAAUUUGUUAAUUGAUGAAAGGAAGCCUUUAAAGCUUCGCUUGUAGAUGAGUCUGCGUCUUAUUAGCUAGUUGGUAGGGUAAAUGCCUACCAAGGCAAUGAUAAGUAACCGGCCUGAGAGGGUGAACGGUCACACUGGAACUGAGAUACGGUCCAGACUCCUACGGGAGGCAGCAGCUAAGAAUCUUCCGCAAUGGGCGAAAGCCUGACGGAGCGACACUGCGUGAAUGAAGAAGGUCGAAAGAUUGUAAAAUUCUUUUAUAAAUGAGGAAUAAGCUUUGUAGGAAAUGACAAAGUGAUGACGUUAAUUUAUGAAUAAGCCCCGGCUAAUUACGUGCCAGCAGCCGCGGUAAUACGUAAGGGGCGAGCGUUGUUCGGGAUUAUUGGGCGUAAAGGGUGAGUAGGCGGAUAUAUAAGUCUAUGCAUAAAAUACCACAGCUCAACUGUGGACCUAUGUUGGAAACUAUAUGUCUAGAGUCUGAUAGAGGAAGUUAGAAUUUCUGGUGUAAGGGUGGAAUCUGUUGAUAUCAGAAAGAAUACCGGAGGCGAAGGCGAACUUCUGGGUCAAGACUGACGCUGAGUCACGAAAGCGUAGGGAGCAAACAGGAUUAGAUACCCUGGUAGUCUACGCUGUAAACGAUGCACACUUGGUGUUAACUAAAAGUUAGUACCGAAGCUAACGUG